AAUGUAUAUUUAUUUAUUUAUUUAUUGAGCAUGAGGUGUUCUGUUCAGAGUGAACCAGCAUUUCUAGAUCCUUAAUACUAGCUGAUGCACAACACGUCCAAAAUGCAAUUACCUGGGCUGGUUUUGUUCUUAUGGAGAUGUACUUUCUAGACCACACUGCCUUCCUAAGAGCUUGCUUUCUCUCCUUAUAAUCCAAUAUUCAACUAGAAACCAAAAUGACAUGAGUGAUUUUUGGCCAGCAAACCUGAAUUUGGGGAUCACCAGCAUGCCUGCAUUAUUUAUGAACUGGAGUAGUUAUUUUAAUGGCCUCACAAUUAAUUAAAUCUUACUAUUAUUCUUUGUAAACUGAUUUAAAUCUAGGGAGUUUCAAGGUUGUUUUUAGGUGAAAGUGACAGCGUUUGUGCUUUUCUUUAUUUUUUGCUUUAUGUAAUUAUUUGUGUUUUUUAUUGUAGUUGGUCCCGUCCCUGCCCAAUUACAAUUUAAAAGACAAUAUCCUGAAGCACCUUCUGAAUAUCCCUGCUAGUACUACACAUGGACCACCGACUUGCAGUAGUUUUACUCUAUUAACCUUGACUCUAAUGUUCUCAGGCACGUCAAACAAGGUUACUGCGGGUCUUGAGCUUGUAGCCUCCCAAUUAUCAAGUAAUAUUAUCCAGCUCUGCAGCUGCUGGCCAGUGUGUUACAAAGAGCCCUGGACAGCUGUAAUGGUGCUGCGGGAGUUCAGAGCACUAGACCUCAAAAUCCACUACUUAAUGUGUCAAUACGGGAUUGUCCACCAACACGCCUACCUGCCAUGUCUUCUCCAGGGUGAUUCAGGAAAAGACAGACUGGCCGUUAAACUAGGAGAGAAGGGUUUGAAAGGUGAUCCUGGACCUCAAGGCCUGCCUGGUCUCAAAGGUGAUAAAGUAAGUCACCCUGCAAGUUUGAUUUCUUGUACCAACCUUUACAAACUGUAGCACAGAGAGAGAUAGAUGCAGAGUCUCUAUGUUUUUCAGACAGUGAGUUUCCAUAAAUUUUUAUAUACCUGUACAUUGCAAGCCUUAGAGGUCUAUAUGUGAGUCAUUCUUAUGAAACUCUGCAAAUUUGUGGCUGAACAUUUUUUUAUUAUUAUUAUCAUUUUAACAUUUAAAAGUUUGAAAAUGUCACUGCUUAACUUUCUAGAACUCAUAUUUUCCCAACAAAGCCCAGUUUCCCAGGCCAUUACUACCAGAGACGCCUCCAGACCAAUAUUCAGAUUAGCAAUCAACGGAUAAACUUGCAAAAUAUCAAUAGUUAUUUGUUAGAAUUUAAAUAUGAAGUCUGAAGGUCAAACAGGGAGGAAAUGUCUGCAUAAUAGGGUUGAACAAAAAAUUAGGUACAGUAUGAACAUGAAUUUAGCAUUUUAUCAGAAGCUGCAUAAAACACGUUAAAAAGUACAUAUUGAAAUGAUAUAUUUGAAUUUUAGAAGAUACAUAUUUGUCAGUUCUUAUUCUGUAUAACCCAUUAAAGUGCCCCUAUUAUGCCAUUUCGAUAUUGCCUUGUGCAGUGUAGCCGUAUAUGUAAAUGAUCUGCAAAGUUGUAAAGCCUGAAAAGUGCAUGAUAAAUAAAGUUAUUGUCUCCCAGAAGAAAGAAUCUACUCUGAACAGCCUGAAAGAGUCAUCAGUAAUUUGAAUCCCAAAUAACACAUUUGCAUAAUCCCCGCCUAUAUUCUAUGUUGGCCAACCGCAAACAACUUGACCCGCCCUCAAACACUAGCCUUGAUAAAUAAUAGAUGUUUAUAUUUUCUAUCGGGGAUUUAAAAUAUGGAACUAAAUGGGUGUAUCGUUUCCGACACGCCCUGUAUGCGGUUGACCAAUCAAAACAGACUUGGCCAUCUGACCAAUCAGAGCAAAGUAGGGUCACAGAAAGGAGAGGUUUAGAGAGACUGAAUCUCAGAACUGCUUUGAACAAAUCAUUUGAGGAUAGUUGGAAAAUGAGAUGAUAUUCAAUGCACAUUUUGAGAAAAUGAAAGCAUUUUUCGACCUUGCAUGCAAUUGUUGUUUUCUUAUUGUAGAAGACUCCCAAAACAAUAUUAGGAACCUUAAAAAAAUGCCAUUAUAUGGGCACUUCAAAAUGCAAUGAUUAUGAAUGGACAUGCAUUGGCUGAUAUUCUGAGUAAAAUAGUUACACUAAUGUUAAAAAGU
rnacentral:lncRNA from 1 species